rnacentral:rRNA from 1 species
GACGAACGCUGGCGGCGUGCUUAACACAUGCAAGUCGAACGAUGAAACCUAGCUUGCUAGGUCGAUUAGUGGCGAACGGGUGAGUAACACGUGACUAACCUGCCCCUUUCUCUGGGAUAACGCUCCGAAAGGAGUGCUAAUACCGGAUACUCACACCGAGGCACAUGCCUUGGUGUGGAAAGUUUUUCGGAAAGGGAUGGAGUCGCGGCCUAUCAGCUUGUUGGUGAGGUAACGGCUCACCAAGGCGACGACGGGUAGACGGCCGGAGAGGGCGACCGGCCAAACUGGGGCUGAGACACGGCCCAGACUCCGACGGGAGGCAGCAGUGGGGAAUAUUGCACAAUGGGCGCAAGCCUGAUGCAGCGACGCCGCGUGAGGGAUGAAGGUCUUCGGAUUGUAAACCUCUUUCAGUAGGGACGAAGCGAAAGUGACGGUACCUAAAGAAGAAGCACCGGCUAACUACGUGCCAGCCGCCGCCGUAA